GAUGAACGCUGACAGAAUGCUUAACACAUGCAAGUCUUUGGCGAAGCUGUGCUUGCACAGCCUAGCCAGGGCGGACGGGUGAGUAACGCGUAAGGAACUUGCCCUGCAGUCAGGGAUAACAGACGGAAACGACUGAUAAGACCUGGUAAAGUCAGGCGGACUCAUGUCCAGCCUGAUGAAAAGAGAUGCUGCAGGAGAGCCUUGCGUCCUAUUAGCUUGUUGGUGGGGUAACGGCCCACCAAGGCGAUGAUAGGUAGCCGGCCUGAGAGGGUGGACGGCCACAAGGGGACUGAGAUACGGCCCUUACUCCUACGGGAGGCAGCAGUGGGGAAUAGUGGACAAUGGGGGCAACCCUGAUCCAGCAAUUCUGUGUGCACGAUGAAGGUUUUCGGAUUGUAAAGUGCUUUCAGCAGGGAAGAAAAAAAUGACGGUACCUGCAGAAGAAGCGACGGCUAAAUACGUG
rnacentral:rRNA from 1 species